GAGCAAACCACCUUCCGGUCACCGCUCGAGUCCCGUGCCAUCUUGUAUUUAGCAAAGAACAAAAACGGCGUGAGAAACGAGCCCGACAUCGGGGAGGGGCGCGGGUUUUGAGUCGUAUUUUGAGUGGUUUUGUUUAAUAAGAGGUCCGGUGUUACAGGACAGUUAUGCUCGGAAUCGCGGCACCGCGGAGAAACAUCAGCCACACCCUGGAGAACAGCUAACGUUAGCUCCGGAGCUAUCGAAGCUAAGCUAGCCAAUUAGCUAAAGCUAGUACCGAACCAGCUAAACCAGCGCCUAAACCGUCGAUCAAUUUCACAAUUGGCACUUGAGCUGAAAAUGGAGCGGACGUCGUGUUGAUCAUCGGCUGACGGAGGAGACGCGGGCUAUGAGGACAGAGGCUCGGUAGCUUGGCUGCUAACCGUUUGUGUUUCGUUCCCGCAGCGGAACCACAAUAAGCCGCGCAUUAACACGUUAAUAAACCACACUGAUCCGAGCGUAGUACCACAUCAGGUGUCUUCAGCGCCGUGCAGCGUCCAUCCAUCCGUCUGCGAACCGCUUAUCCUGCACACGGGGUCCUGGGGGGCUGGAGUCCAUCCCAGCCAACUUCAGGUGAUAGACGGGGUUCAACAAUACAACACGGGGAGAACAUGCAGACUCCACACAGAAAGGCCUCUGGGCCGAGUCGAACCCAGGACCUUCUUGCUGUGAGGCGACAGUGCUAACCACCACGCCCCCGUGCCGCCCCGCCCUGCAGUGUCCCUGAUAAAACGCAUUCAUUGUCAUCGGGACAUUUUGAUAUGAGCGUUAAACGUCUAUUAUUCUUGAUUGUGAACUUGCAUCACUUUAGUCUGGAGGAGUUUGUUACAGUUAGUGAGACGCUAACACUCCGAAGCAUCAACCGGUCUCCUCAGUCCCUCGCCAAAGGUCUCAUGCUGGAUUCGGGUCCAACCCAAAUAUGUGAGUUGGAGGUUUUUCCCUCAUAGGAUUCUUCGGGAACUUACUUCCUCCUGUGGAGAGCUGCUUCUUUUCCGUGGAAAAUGACAAGAAAUAGAAACGAGAAACCGGCGAAUGGUGACAAACCACGAUGCAUCUUAAAGUCCAAACGAAGAAUUCGUGUUUUCACCUGAACAGCAUUUAGACUCUUCUGUGGAUACAAAAUCAUACUGACUAGACGUGACAAGAACGUAAACACGGUUAUGACAUUAAUCAGAAAAAACACAGGUUUCAUUUCAUAAUCAUCGCCCGAUUAUCAAUGAGAUGCAGAGAUGCGCGCGGAGCAGAAACAGCUUCAGCUCGGCGCCGAGCCGACGUAGAGGAAAGCGCAGCCAGCAGCGCUUGUGAGUCACAUGACGCAGGCAGAGGCGUCUGGUCGACUAGUCGUCCAAGG
ensembl:lncRNA